rnacentral:rRNA from 1 species
CCUACGGGAGUCAGCAGUGAGGAAUAUUGGUCCAUGGGCGCGAGCCUGAACCAGCCAAGUAGCGUGAAGGAUGACUGCCCUACGGGUUGUAAACUUCUUUUAUAAAGUAAUAAAGUGCGGCACGUGUGCCUUUUUGUAUGUACUUUAUGAAUACGGAUCGGCUAACUCCGUGCCAGCCGCCGCGGUAAUACGGAGGAUCCGAGCGUUAUCCGGAUUUAUUGGGUUUAAAGGGAGCGUAGAUGGGUUGUUAAGUCAGUUGUGAAAGUUUGCGGCUCAAUCGUAAAAUUGCAAUUGAUACUGGCAGGCUUGAGUACAGUUGAGGUAGGCGGAAUUCGUGGUGUAGCGGUGAAAUGCUUAGAUAUCACGAAGAACUCCGAUUGCGAAGGCAGCUUACUAAACUGCCACUGACAUUGAUGCUCGAAAGUGUGGGUAUCAAACAGGAUUAGAUACCCCAGUAGUC